rnacentral:rRNA from 1 species
UACGUAGGGGGCGAGCGUUAUCCGGAAUUACUGGGCGUAAAGCGUGCGCAGGCGGCUUUGCAAGACAGAUGUGAAAUCCCCGGGCUCAACCUGGGAACUGCAUUUGUGACUGCAAGGCUAGAGUACGGCAGAGGGGGAUGGAAUUCCGCGUGUAGCAGUGAAAUGCGUAGAUAUGCGGAGGAACACCGAUGGCGAAGGCAAUCCCCUGGGCCUGUACUGACGCUCAUGCACGAAAGCGUGGGGAGCAAACAGG